CGUCCACAGUCAUGCAGGAUGCACCACGGCGCCCAGACCCAGCUUCCUGACCCAGCCCUGCCCCUUCCUAGCUCAGGCCAGGGCCCAGGAGACCCCUCCACAUCCCUCACCCCACCCUACCCCGUCACUUCCCUUCCACCCCCACCCCUUCACUGCCUCCCGUCCCCUCACCUCCCUCCCGCCCCCACCCCCUCACCUCCCUCUCACCCCCUCACCUUCUCCCACCCCCUCCUCUCCCUCCCACUCCCUCCCUUCCUACUCCCCUGCACCCCUCCAUGUCUGGCCCCUGGGAGGGUGACUCUGUCCUCAGUGUCCUGUCUGCCUCCACUGAUGUCUGCUGACUGCCAUUCACUCCAGGCUCAGCCUUCUCAGCCCCCUGGGCAGGACGCUGCCUCCUCCCGUCACUGCCGGACUCCCCAGGCGGAGUGCGUGGGUUUCUCACCUGGAGCUGCUGAGCCCCACCUGUGUGGGGUCCUGGGGCUGCCCCAGUCCUCACAGCAGGCUCAGCUCACGGUCCCCCCAGGCCAAGGUGUUGGUCGAAUUCCUUCAAAUCUUAGGGGAGAUUCGCAGGAAACAAGAGCGCGUCUGGACCCCAGGUCGAAACGGGCCAGGAGCAGCCAGGUGGCCGUGUGGCCCCACAUCCAGCCGCAGGCCAGUGGCAGGGCAGACCUUGGCUCUCAGAGAGCAUCUUGAGCCUGGACAGAGCCUUAUAAGGCGCUCCUGGGGCCAUGACACACACUCCAAGAAUAGCCUCCAGGCUUUGUCUUCUGACGGGCUGGCGCCAGGGUCCUGCAGAGAGUGCCCGGCAGCCAACCAGGGGCCAGUCAGGCACAUGCACACCAGCCUCCUUCCUGCCAACCCACUGGGCUGGGGUUUCCCGGGGCUGCGGGAAGGGAAGUGGAGGAAGGACGCAGCCCCGCGGCUGGCAGGUGCAGGCCUGGGCUCUCAUCCUGGUGCUGACCCCACCUGGUCAGGCAAUGCCCACACGGGACCAGACUAGGACCCUUAACCUUUUCUACUGCAUCUUGCUGGCCGGCGGGCAAAGCCUCUGUGCUCAUGGAAUGCCGUUUAAAAAUGCGUCAUGUAACAUACAGGACCCUCACCCAACCAUACUGCCAUGCGGCAAUAAAACAUUUUAACUGUGUUGAUGGCAUACAUGUGAAUCGAGUCUGGCUGCCACCACUGUCCUCUCCAUCCAGCUUCACAAGUGGCCGAGCCCCUGCAGGAAGGGCCAGCCGCAGGGCGUCUCUGGGCAUUGCCAACCAGCCAUCUGGCGGGUUCCCCGCGGAGUCAGGGCCAUUCCUCGGGCCUGUCCACCUGACCUGCUGCCUGCACACAGGCCUCACACCCUCACUCACACUCACACAUGCUCCAUCCCGACUCCAGCAGCCCUUCCCCCUCGGGGCCCAGGUGCCUCUUCCUGUCUCCCUCAUGCCUGAGGAGGGACCAGCAUCUGGUGCCCUUUGACCUUGGCCUGGUUCUGAAGUGAAUCACCCGGAAGGAAGGCGCUUGUCCUCCCGGACCCAGGUCUGCAACAGUUAUGACCACGCCCAUCCCAGUGGCCCUGCCAGACAGCAGGGCGGCCAGUCCACCUCCACGUAAUGGGCCCCAAUCCUGGAGCACAGCCUAGGAGAACUGCCAGGCUCCCAGAGCACGGCCUGCAGAGCAGAUAGACACAGGGCCAGGGCAGGAAGGGGCAGGAUGGGAGUGGGGGCAGAAGAGGCCAGAGC
ensembl:lincRNA